AAUAAAAUAUUUAAAACAUCUGAAGUAAGCGAAUACAUUAUUCCAUUAAUGUGUUGAAGAAAUAAGUAGGUUUUGGUUGUGUUCAUUGUUGCUAGGCUGAAAAACAUUUAAAUAACAUUUGAAAUUAAACAUGGUCGUUGCAGGAGCUGCGCUGCUGACAGGAGCAAUAAUGGUCACAUUAUUUUUGGGGGGAAAAUUUCUUCUGCAAAUGGACCGGGAGAAUAAUGCAAUUCCUAUUACCAACUUGACAGGCUUAAGUGAAGAUAGAAUCCUGAAACUAAUGCGUGGAAAGAUUUUAGGACGAUAGGACAGCACGGAAGAAGAGGGAAUAUUACUGUGAUAUUAUAACGCCAGAGUGCAGCACUUCCCUUUGUGAACAGCUUAUUUUCAUAGCACGGCAAAUAACAUCGACUUGGGCAUCAUGACAACGGGUUUGUUUAUCACAGAUGCUGGUGCCGCCAUCUGUCAGCUUUGCCUAAUAUUCCCUUUUAGUUUUUAUUUUUAAUUUAAAUAUAAGUCUUGUAAAUUUAUUGAAACUUGUGUGUACCCAUUGCUUUGUUGUGCUCCGAUACAGUACCUACGUUGUAGCUCCGUCGUGCUUCGUUGUUUUCUAUAGAGUUUGACACUGAUAUGCGUUGACGUAUGUUGAAACUUCAUACAAUUUCUACGUUUUUCCGCGUUGAUCCGUCGACGGAUGUCAACGUGACGGAGGACGUCGCAGCGCAACUGAGCAAUGGGAACACGCUCGAAAUCGUUUCUAAAUAAAUGUGUGAAUCUUAAUUUAUUAUAAUUUUAUUUUGACAAUGUUGAAUGGAUUGUAAGAAAACUUCGAUGCUCUGUGGUGGAGGAACGAACCAGGAAAAUGCCCAGUGAGGGAAAGAGAAUGUAGACGAUGAAUCUUAUCUCAGUUUCAGCAAUCAAAUUUGCAUGAUUUAAAAAUUAAAAUUACUUACAUACGGUCUGUAGAAAAUAAAUGAGGACACUCUUUUCUAAUGGCUGGCGACAUUGGGUGCUUAUUAAUCAAUUUAGAGUAUAGUAUUGCAG